rnacentral:lncRNA from 1 species
UUUUUAAAGUAUAACAUUCUGUGUGUGUGUGGGGGGGGGGGGUUCAGCUCUUCAAACUUAGAAUAUUUAGUGAGGUAAGAGUUGUGGACUUCGAUUUCUGACCUUGGUUUUCAUUUGGAAACACCAUACGUACUAUUUAGCAAUCAAACUUCGCAUGAUGUAAUCCCUGCUAUUUUAAUUUGUCUUGUGCUCUGUAAUCGCUUUGGAAGCCUCUGAUACACAAAUCUCUUCGCAGUGAAUUUUCUUUGGUGAUGUUCUUCUUACAGCUUAAACAUGUGGAAAUAUGGCUCACAUGAAUUAUGUUUCUUUUUGAAACAACAACUCAGUGGGGUCCUCCAUCCGUGUCUCCAUCUGGAAACUUCAGACAGACAGAGACUUAGCUCAGGCUUCACCUUCCUUUGCCUGCAUUAUUUCUAUCAUCUUCCUCUCUGGACCUCAGGUGUCUGGUGUCAUCUUGCUCCAAUUCACCUGCUACGCUCCAUCAGAUUACAUCUUCUUAGACCUAAAACAACAAGAGGAACAGCAACAAAACUGAAACAAAGUGCCCCACAUGAGCCCCACAUUGGGUUAUUUUCUGAAUCAAAAGCCUCCAUUACCUAUAUAUAUGGUAACGUUGGAAGAUAAACAAAGCUGGAUACUAGGGGAAGUGGUGAGAGCAGAUUCUAGUCACUAAUCUAUUGCCACCCUGGGAAAAGAGUCCAGCGUGAACUGAACACAAUUUUGGUUUGUACAGGGGUGACUGGGUGUUUUAAGGGGAGAAUGAGGAACAGGGAAGGAUUGGUGGGCUCACUAGGGUCAGGGCAGUGACAAAUUAUAAAAGUGGAAAGGGGGUUGGGUCUGUGUGAAACCCAUCUGGUUUUGCUAGUUGGCACUUAUUCAAGUU